rnacentral:rRNA from 1 species
UACGAAGGGGACUAGCGUUGUUCGGAAUUACUGGGCGUAAAGCGCACGUAGGCGGAUUGUUAAGUCAGGGGUGAAAUCCUGGAGCUCAACUCCAGAACUGCCUUUGAUACUGGCGAUCUCGAGUCCGGGAGAGGUGAGUGGAACUGCGAGUGUAGAGGUGAAAUUCGUAGAUAUUCGCAAGAACACCAGUGGCGAAGGCGGCUCACUGGCCCGGUACUGACGCUGAGGUGCGAAAGCGUGGGGAGCAAACAGG